CCAAUAGCGUAUAUUAAAGUUGUUGCAGUUAAAAAGCUCGUAGUUGAAUUUCGGGAUUGACGUGACGGUCGUGCCUUAAGGGGUAUGAACUGUCGCAGUUGAUUUCUCACCUUCUGGAGAAGCAUGAUGUCCUUAAUUGGGUGUCAUGUGGAACCAGGACCUUUACCUUGAAAAAAUUAGAGUGUUUAAAGCAGGCAUUUUGCUCGAAUACAUUAGCAUG
rnacentral:rRNA from 1 species